AAGCCGGCAUGUGGGCGGUGAGAGGUUUUAUUCUGGUUACAGGACAGGCGUUGACAAAGCCCCGGACAUUCCAGUGAUGGCCACCAGAAGCGCCGUCGCAGGAAGUCCCGGGUCCUCUGAAUGCCGGGAUGGCAGGUGAGCCGGGAAGCAUGGCCCCACUGGAGCACGUCUGAACGGAGGUGUGACGGGACAAACAGGCGGUCAGGUGGACAGGAACUGGGAGCUGGCUGGUCCACAGUGGCGGUUCGUCUCCUGUGUCUCCCAGGGUAUGGAAGCGAUGAGGCAGGAGGCUGGGAUGAUGGUGGAAGGCUUGACCAUCUCAUUGGGACUGUAGAACUUCCCAAGACUCUGACCAGCUGCAAGAGCCAUCAGGAACCGACAGACCAAGGACGGCUUUGACAGAAGAGGCGAAGCAGAGGCUGUCUGAAGAGGUCUGCGACAGCAUCCUGGCUCACACCAAAGCGAGGUUCUCUUUCACUGGCCACCUUGUGAGUGCGACCUUAGUACAAGGGGUGUACGCAGAUAGUACAAUGCACCCUCUCCUUCUGUUUGUGUCAAAACAAUAAAUGCAUCAAAGGGUAAAUGUAGUGUAAAGGGAUACUCUGAUUUCCCCGGUUUUUUUGUUGUUUUUUAACAGCAGACCACCGCAAAAACAUUUAGUUCUCAUGCUCACGAAACGUAAUCUAGUGA
rnacentral:lncRNA from 1 species